rnacentral:lncRNA from 1 species
UACGCUCCCUCUCUUCGAAGCUGAUGCCACACUCCACACAGUCCACACCUGCCAUAGCUAGAGCUUCGAUUGAUGGCAUGGCUUCAGUCAAGUACUGCUAAGAGUGUUUCUGUGUGCUUCUUUGCAUCAGGACAUACGAGGUAUUUAUAAGGGGAACCUAAACUAGCCUUGUAUCUCUGUGGAUAAGGUUGCAGGUGAGAGCAUAUGAUCCACUACCAAGUAGAAGUAGAAGUAGCCAUUGCUUUAGUGAUGGCAUGGCUGACGUUCUUAAUAAAGUUAAAUCGUUUCAUGAUGUCGGUAAUCUCAAUCACAGAUUACUUCCCCAAUGGACUCAUUUCUGAACUUUCUCUUUUCGUGAAGACUGUUGAGCGCUUUAAUUAACAGUUUUUUUUUUCAGAUUUAAUGAGAAUUUUUAUUUUAUAGAAAGCCAAUGUUAAAUUAAUCAUUUAAUGGGUAAUUGGUAGCGCGUUUCAGCAACCUUUAAGUAUCGUUUUUUUUUUACACUUUUUGCAUGGACAUUUAAUAUCGUCAUCAGUAAAAUUUAUCAGGAUAAAUAUUUAAAAUUAAUAAAACCCUGAACCCCGUUAUAAUAUUCCAUCCUCUGCAAUCCUUGAGGUGAGUCCCGAUAUAUCCAUGAACGACCAUCCAUGACUUCUAUCGAACCUUUAUAAAAUUAUGACAACAACAUUUAUUAAUGAACUAUGUUACAUAAAUAAACAUAACAAAAAUAUUGGUUUGCCCCAACAUUAUCCAACGAACUAAAAAAACACUUAUGUUAAAUAUUCAUUAUCAAUUAUCAACUAUCAACAUCCAUACAAAUUUAUACAUAUAUAAAUUUACAAAAAUCACAACUUCGCAAUAGAAUUGAUAAAAAUUAAAACGGUCCCGUUAAAAAAUCUAUUAUUUAUUUCAUCACAACACAUCUAAUUCGGUGUAAUUCAAACAAAGUUUCAACAAUUUACAAACAAAUAUAAUUUGAUAAAAUCUAAAACAAACUAUAACAACUACAAAAUUAUAUAUUCAUAAUACAAGUUUCUUUGACAAAUAAUAAUCAAACAAGUACAUGCGUUAACCAAAAAACAUAAACUAAAAAAAAUCACAUUUAAAUGUUAAAACUAAAAAAGGAUAGAUUCACUUACAAAAAAUGAUAAAAUCCACAAGAACAAAUGCUGUGACCAUCGUACAAAAGUAUAAGAAACUUGAGUGUUUAUGUUGAGAAGAGGGGGAGAGUUGGGAUGGGUGGUUGGCUGCAGUCCGGGAGGGGAGAGGUGGGAUGGGAAAGAAGAAGGAGAAAUAGAGUGUUGGUAGAGUGGGUAUAUAUCGAUUGUUACCAAUGGAAUCACCAACGGACACAUUCCGUUAGUAAACCCGUCGGUGAGUCCAUCGGUGACUGUGUCACGUCACUGUACGAAGAUCCUGGUUUGAAUCCCUCGGUCAUUUCGUUGGUAAAAUCGCCUGAAAAAAAAAUCUACGUCAUCACAUCGUUGCAACUUUCCAAAAAAAACUAUAUAAUACGUCUGUGAUACGGUCGGUAUGUACCGACCAUAUCGCCAAUGGGUAUUUUCUGUCGGUAUAUACCGAUAGAAUUGGAGACGAAGUUAUUUUUGUCGGUAAAAAUCUAGUUGGUUUUCGCUGAUUUUCUGGUAGUGUUAAAGACCGGAAUACAAAUGGUUGUAAUUAUAUGCAUCAAUACUAUUAUUUUUUUUUAACGUGGGUGUCCAAGCUAGCUUGCGUACACCUCAACUAAUCCCACGAGCCCUUAACUUAAUGACAAUGUAAGGCACCCUAAGAUUUGUGAGACUCGAACUAGUGACAUUUAGGGUGCAAUCUUAGGAUAUCAAUACUAUUUUCUUCUAAUAAUGAUACAUGAAAUGAAUACACACACACAAAAAUAUAUUCAUAAGACUUUAUCUGCGUCUGAAUCUAAGUCUAGAAUCAUAAAUAUAAUAGGUUAUUCCAAUUUUUUUAAGAUGAAACUCUAUCUAGUAUUAAGCUUAAAGUAAACGGAUCUUGAGAGUGAUUGAUGGUGUGGUUUUUUAAAGUAGUUUUUACUUUGAAAUAUAUCAAAAUAAUAUAUUUUUUAUUUUUAAAAAUUAUUUUGAUAUCAAUACAUCAAAACAAUUCAAAAAUAAAAAAAAAUAAUUUUUUUUUUUAUAAAAUGCUGCUUGGAACAGAAUUUCAAACUGCACGUAACCAAAAGGUAAUUUUUAACUAUGAUGGAAAGAAUCAAUAUUAUUCUAUUAUGAUUUUUUUUCAUCUGUUUAUUCAUACAUAAUUUGUUAAAAUUUAUUCAUUAUAUUCAGUAUCCAACUUCUUUUCCUUUUAAUCCCGUGACUACUAAGGAUUCAAUUAAUGCAUUUGUACUGGGUUGUUGUAGCAGAUGCAUUACAAGGACCAGGAGAGGGGGGGAAAUCAAUGGUAGCUAAUCAAUUUAGAAUUAAUUUUUAUUAAUAUAUAUUACGUGUUAUUUUUACCGAGUAAAUAUUUUUAUUGAUAAGUUAUAUUUAUUGAGGAAAUUACAAUAGAAAAACAAAAUUAAAACAAAGUAAAAAAAAAAACAAUAACGUGCUAUUUUUACCGACGGGAUAAAUUUUGUCAGUAAAAUCCAUCGGUAAAUUCGUUAGUAAAUUGUGAACAUUGUUUAUCAUAUAAAUUACAAAAAUAAUCGCCAAUGUAAAUUUCAUUAGUAUUUUUCAGAGAGCUUUGGAACUGUUCGCUUCCUAAUUGCAUUAUUAAUUAAUGUUCUUUAUAUACUAAAUCACCGACGGCCGGAUCGAAAAGUCAUCGGUAUUAUUUGGUGGUUUUUUAAAAAAGUUUGAUUAAAUUAAAUAGUACGGAUAGCAUCACCAACAGAUGGAAAAGUCGUCGGUGAUAUUUGGUGGUUUCUAAAUAUUUUUUAUUAAAUUAAAUAUACAGACAAAAUCAUUAGAAAUGGACUGUUCUUCUAGUAUGAACUCAAACAAAGAAGGCAGAAUAUUUUAACAUUUCCUUAACAAUAACACCAUAAUAUUUGUACAUCAACCCAGAAUCUCUUUUCCAAUAACGAUCGUAAGUAGUUUAAUUUUGCGUGAUUUUGAUUGUCAAUGAUUAUUUUUAAUGAGUAUAGACACAGAGAUGCAGCUUGAAGUGUUUCUCUUUGACGUUUUUUCUUUUGGAAAGUAUUAAAUCAAGAAAUUUUCCUUCCAUAUGCGGCCAUAAUACAAGCGGAAUUCAGCAAACUAAAUACAAAUAUAUGAUGUAAACAUAAUAUCACAGCUUUUUAUCUUGACUGUUAUAACCCAUUUUUGGGUCCCCAUGAAAAAUAAAAUAAAUAGCCAAAAGAGUUUAGAAAAAAUAACAGAAGGCAGAAGCGCUCAGGAAACAGUCAGAAAAUUGGUCAAGAAAUUCAAAAAUACAAGGAUUAAAUUUUUGACAGUAUAUUCUUGAAGGAUGAAGGCCCUAUUGAGAAGGAAAAUUUGAAUUUUGAGGAGAAAAGCCCAAAUUUGGAUGUUUAUGGACUUAAUUGGAUUUUUAUUUGAAUUUAUAGAAGAUUUGAUUGCAAGAAAAAUUGAUUUUUAAGUCAAUUUGGGCUUUUAAUUUGGAGAAAUUUAAGUUCUGGGGCCAAAAUAUAUUUUUUAGGAAUUUAUUGGGUCAAAUCAGGGGCUCAAUUGCAUAAAUAUUGAAGUUUAAGGGCCAAUUAGGGACUUAAUUGUGAAAAUUCGAAACCAGGGACCAAUUUGGAGAAGGCGCAAAGAUAGAGGGGGCUGUUUGGAUUUGUUUCAGGGGCUUAAUUGAAGAAAUUGGAAGUUUAUUGAUCAAUUAGGGGCUCAAUUGCAUAAAUCAGAGGCCAAGGACCAAAGUGAAAAAGGCGGCCAACAAGAGGGGCGGGGACCGAAUUUUGGGGACUGAUUUGAAGUUUAGCCAAUUUAAAUGAAACGGCGCGUUUUACCCAAAACGACGCCGUUUCAUUAAAAAAAAAAAAAAAAAAAAAAAAACAGAACGGUGUCGUUUUGAACGACACUGUUCAUCUUCCUCCUUCCCCCGUUUUAACAGAACAGAAAACGAAAAAAUUCGAAAAUCUUCCCGCGCCUCUCUCUCUCCUCCCACCACCUUUAGCAUUGGCCGACCAGCCGUUGCACCGCACUAACGAUGGUCCCCCACGGUUCUGCCCCUAUAAAUAGGGAAGAGGACGAAAAGAAAAAAAAACCGAAGGGAGGAGAGAGAGAGGAGGCCGAAGAGAGAGAGAGAACCGAACACCGAAGAGAGAAGGAGCCGCAGCGCCGCCCGGGAAGCCACGCCACCGCAGCACCGCCUCCUCCACGCCAGGUCACCUCUUCUCCCCCUCUCGUUAGUUUUUUUUUUUUUUCCCUGCAUGCAGAAUGAACAUUCUGCAUGCAGGGAGGAGGGGGGAAUUAAUUCCCCCCUCUGUUGAUGUGUAGCUGGGCCAGGUGGAUCCUGGCCCAGCACAUUUUUUUUUUUUUUUGGGCCAGACUAAGUCUGGCCCGGCCUUGUAUCUGACGGGCCAGACCAGGUCUGGCCCAUACCAGCUCUCUGGGCCAAGUCCGGCCCAGAUAUUUGGGCCGGCCCAGCCCGAAUUAUAUAUAUAUAUAUAUAUAUUAUAUUAUAUGUGUGUAUAUAUGUAUAUAUAUAAAUAUAAUAAUAAAAAAAUAAAUAUUUUGAAAAAAUCUUUAAAAAAUAUUGUUGAUUUUUCUGCAUAUUUUUGUCAAAAAUGUUUUAAUUUUGGUUUGUAUUUUUAUACUGUAAAGAUACAAAACCAGUGUUAUAAAUACCCGGUUUUCGUCAAAACAUCAAAGAUUUUCAGAAUAAAAAAUGUUUUUGCUUUCAAAAAAAUUCUAAAAAGUCCCUAAAAAUGUUGUUGAUUUUUCUGCAUAUUUUUAUCAAAAUGGUUUAAUUUUGGUUUGUAUUUUUAUACCGUAAAGAUAUAAAACCAGUGUUAUAAAUACCCGGUUUUCGUCAAAACAUCAAAGAUUUUCAGAAUAAAAAAUGUUUUUGCUUUCAAAAAAAUUCUAAAAAGUCCCUAAAAAUGUUGUUGAUUUUUCUGCAUAUUUUUAUCAAAAUGGUUUAAUUUUGGUUUGUAUUUUUAUACCGUAAAGAUAUAAAACCAGUAUUAAAAUACCCGGUUUUCGUCAAAACAUCAAAGAUUUUCAGAAUAAAAAAUGUUUUUGCUUUCAAAAAAUUUCUAAAAUUCCCUAAAAAUGUUAUUGAUUUUUCUGCAUAUUUUUUAAAAGCGGAUUAAUAUUGGGUUGUAUUUUUAUACCGUAAGGAUACAAGCUCAGUAUUAAAAUACCCGAUUUUCGUCAAAGCAUAAAAAAAAUAAUAUUUUCUAAAAAUUUUUUUUGUUUUAAAAUACGGCCUAGUCUCUCCAAAUAUAUACAUAAAUAUUAUAACAUCAUAUUUUCACACAACAAAGAAAAUUUUCAAAACAAUAUAUGUAUUAACAUGCAUUUUGGCUUUAAUAACCAGUUUAUUCAAGCCAUGAGAACUAGGCCAAUAUUUCAAAAAUUCUAAAAAAUCUUUUUGUUUUAUUUUAGUAUUUGGGAUUACGAAUUUAUACGUAAAACGUAUUCCUAAGUAUUAUUAAUAAAAUUUUGGUAUGGACGUUAGAACGGUUAGGAUUUUUACCCGAUAAGAUAAAAGACCUUCUUACUGAGGAGGAUUUUUCUUGAACCAUAGACAGAUCAACGACUAGGAAAACACAACAACACUUUAGUUUUUUAUCAGACAAUAAAACAAUGCAGCUUACCUUAGGUAGGGCGUAUUUGGGGUGCUAAUACCUUCCCUUUACGCAACCAGUCUCCGUACUUGAUCUCUGAGACCAGUUAGGUUCCUAGUGACCAAAAUACUAGGUGGCGACUCCAAAGAACCAAAAAUAAAAAAAUUCGCCAGUCGAACCCGCAAUUGAUGAAUUUGAAUUUUUUGGGGUGCGACAGAAUGGCGACUCCGCUGGGGACUUUGUAGACUAAGCUUUGUUUUGUCUGAUUUGUUUGUAUUUUCAUGUGUUUAUUGUUAAUAUGCCCUUCCUUUUAUUUGCGUAUUUAUUUAUUUUUUUUACGCAUAUUAUUCAUGCAUUGUAUAUAAUUGUUUCAUGCAUCACUUGCCUUAAUUUUGAAAAGCACACACAAGCCUUAAGUUAAGUGGGGAAUUAGCGAUUUACCCUAAGACUAUUGGUCAGGGUUUAAAUGCGUGAAACACCCAACUCAUAUCUGAGUGCCUGCUUGGUAAUGGUGGGCAUACGUGUCUUAACUGUUCCUUGCAACGCCCCCAUACUGUCUUUACGAAGAACGUCACUGGGCAGAUAUGAGACCCUUCAAGACCAGAUAGAAAACUUACCCACUCUCACUUAAUAAAUAGAGCUUGUCCUUAGGUUAUGUAUCUUAUUUGCAUCAAGAUUAAUAAUGUUAUACUCAUCGCACAUCACUUGUGCAUCACAUUUUCAUCACGCAUUUUGUUAUCAUAUGCAUUACAGAUCGUGAAACAUAGGUCCUACAUCCAGAGUCCACCAAACCCGGUCCAGAUCAAGAAUGGAAAACGAAGAAAGAGCUCAAUUAGAGUCGCACUACCAGACCGAGUUGGAAUCUGUGAAAAAUGAAGUUUCUCGACUGACCAGUCUGCUUGAGCAACUUUUAAGAGCCAAGAAUGGGGAGGGAACAUCUACCCAACCCCAUAUAGGAGCACCAUCAGUUCAUGUUCCGGGGGCAUCUCAGAACUUGGGGGCAGAUUCAGUGACGGGGCAGCACUUUGCACCUACCAUUCCCAUUCAGCCCCCUCAAGCUCACAUCACUGUGGAAGGGCCUCCCGAUAAUAGGUCCACCGGAUUUAUGAACGAUGACAAGAUAUCAGCCUUGGAAGAAAGGUUAAGAGCAGUCGAGGGAAAUGACUGGUUUGACCCCAUGCGAGCAUCUGAAAUAUGCUUGGUACCAAACAUCACGAUACCAAAAAAAUUUAGGAUACCGGAGUUUAUAAAGUACACUGGGUUGGAAUGCCCAAACACUCACCUUCGAUCUUAUUGCAAUAAGAUGGCUGAGGUGAUUCAUGACGAUAAGUUACUGAUCUACUUUUUCCAAGAUAGUCUAUCGGGGUCGGCGCUAAGUUGGUACAUGAGGUUGGAUAAUGCCAAGAUCAAGAAAUGGAAGGAUUUAGUUGAGGCUUUCCUUAAGCAAUACAAGUUCAAUUUGGAAAUUGCUCCAGAUCGAACGAGCCUUAUGUCAAUGGAAAAGAGAAGCCAAGAAUCAGUAAGGGCUUAUGCGCAAAGUGGAGGGACGAGGCCAUGCAUGUGCAACCCCCUUUGAUAGAAACGGAGAUGGUGACUUUGUUCGCCAAUACAUUCAAGGCACCCUACUAUGAGCAUUUAAUGGGUAGCUCAUCUCAACAUUUCUAUGAUGUUGUACGCAUAGCGGAAAGAAUAGAGCAAGGGAUUAAAGCUGGACGCAUAAUUGAGCCAUUGGAGACAAAGGGUUUUUUCGGAAGAAAAAUGAAAGGUCCCGUUAACAACUUCGAAGGUGGGUCCAAUGACAAGAUAACAGAUUCAUAUAACCCACAAAUACCUACCUCUCAUGUGGCCCACAUAAACUUUAACAAACCUUUUUCCCCUAAUCGAGCAAAUGGCCAGUCAAACACCCAAAACACCACCAAAGACCAAACACAAGAUACAUUUCAGAACAACUACCGCCAUUACCCAUGCCUCUGAAGGAUAUAUAUGCCAAAUUACUAAGCAUUGGACAAAUAGCUCCUAUCCCUACAUUACCACUACAGCCACCAUUCCCCAUCUGGUAUAAGCCCGAGUUGACUUGCGAGUACCAUGCUGGUAUUCCCGGGCAUUGUCUUGAAACGUGCUACGGUUUCAAGAACAAGUUGUUGAAGCUCAUCAAGAUAGGAUGGGUGUCAUUUGAAGACACACCCAAUAUCAUUAAAUCCAUUGCCUGGUCAUGACAAAAGUGAUAGGGGAUAAAGGUUGGAAAACCUUGGUCAAGAGUCGUCAAUAAUGAAGAAGGCGAGAUCGAAGGAGAAGACAAGGAAAUGCAAGUGGGGAAGGAAGAUGAAGCAUUGCCUCGGUUGACUUUCCACACACUAGAAGAAGUUUCAGAACGGGUUGACCCAAGAACUUCUCGUAGUUUUCAAAAUGUAAAACAACUUUAUUUGCCUUAGCAUGUUUUUGUCAUUUGCUUUUGUCUUUGCUUUUAUUUUCUCUAGUGAGCAUUCAGAGCUCAUAUUGUCAGCCAGAUUUUUGUGUUUGUCUUUGAGCUUACCUUUUCUUUAAAUAAAUGAUGAGUUUAUGCAUUUUUUGAACAAGUUUGAGUGGUUACAAAUAAAGUAUCAUAAAAUGGUUUAAUAUGAAAUUUAAGAAAAGCUAACCCUAAAGUACAACCCUAUCUCUGAUAGCAUGGAUAAAUGUUUAAGGGUCACUUUGUAAUUGUCUUUUAAAGAAUAGAGUUUAUCAACCAUAACAAUGUGCAUUUUGAAAUGAAAUAAAAAAUCAUGAUCUAUUCACUCACUAAAAGAGUUUAUCACUAGCUGAAUGAAUUGCUUCUCUAUAUAAAAACCCAGACUAAUAUCGCACCCCUAUACUGGGGGCAAGACGAUGUUUUAUGAAAAGUUUUACGAUUUGAAAACCAAGCUAAAGCAUUUGACAAAAGCAUGACAAAGAGGCAAAUACAAGUCAUACAUUUUGAGAAAAGGACUACUUGAAGAAAGUCAAAGACUUUUCUCCAAGAAUAUGAUAGGCAACACAAGAGAUGAAUCCAGCAUACGACUUCAAAAGCAAGUUCAUGUUAAGAGGGAGUCUCAUGAACUAGAAGAAGAGGGGGCCUAUGUUUCAAAACCAGGUAUAAAUGCAUGCAUUGCAUCUAAUCAUAAAUCAUUGCAUAUAUGUUUUUUUUGAUCGUUACAGGAGGAGAUCUUAGCGCAUUCCAACAAGAUUAUGGACGAAGAAAGAAUCAUUGAGUUGAUUCUAGAACAACAAGAAGAGAAGAUAAUGGUUUUCAAACCCUGCCAGCAGGAAGAACGACAUCGAUAGCAUUCGGUAAAAAGGAAUCGCCAAAUGGGAUUCCAAGUUGUUGAGAUCAACAGAAGGGAUCUCGUAUUUCGAUGGAGGUCGCUAGAAGGGACCUCAAAUUUCAGCUUUUGUAUAAAAGGAAUCACCAGAUGUGAUUCCAAGUUGUUGAGAUCGCCAGAAGGGAUCUGUAUUUCGAUGGAGGUCGCCAGAAGGGACCUCACAUUUCAGCUUUGAAUAAAAGGAAUCACCAGAUGGGAUUCCAAGUUGUUUGAGAUCGCCAGAAGGGGUCUCGUUUUCGAUAUUCAUCAAUGGAGGUCGCCAGAAGGGACCUCAAAUUUCAGCUUUGGUAUAAAAGGAAUCGCCAGAUGGGAUUCCAAGUUGUUUGGCUAAAGAGAUCGCAGAAGGGAUCUCAUAUUUCGAUAAGGGUCGCCAGAAGGGACCUAAUAUUUCAGCUUUGAAUAAAAGGAAUCGCCAGAUGGGAUUCCAAGUUAUUUGAGAUCGCCAGAAGGGAUCUCGUACUUCGACAUUCAUCAAGGAAGGUCGCCAGAAGGGACCUCAUAUUGAAACCAUUUCUUAGAAAAGCAUGGAGUUUACUAAAAAUUCCCCUGGGUAGUCACCCAUACAAUGAGACCAUCAUUUUUCCUGGGUAGGUCACCCAUACAAUGAGACCAUCAUUUUUCUGGGUAGGUCACCCAUACAAUGAGACCAUCAUUUUUCUGGGGUCGUCACCCAUACAAUGAGACCAUCAUUUUUCUGGGUAGUCACCCAUACAAUGAGACCAUCAUUUUUCUGGGUAGGUCACCCAUACAAUGAGACCAUCAUUUUUCUGGGUAGGUCACCCAUACAAUGAGACCACCAUCAUUUUUCUGGGUAGGUCACCCAUACAAUGAGACCAUCAUUUUUCCUGGGUAGGUCACCCAUACAAUGAGACCAUCAUUUUCUGGGUAGGUCACCCAUACAAUGAGACCAUCAUUUUUCUUGGGUAGGUCACCCAUACAAUGAGACCAUUCUCAUCUUUUUUUCUGGGUAGGUCACCCAUACAAUGAGACCAUCCUUUUUUUCUGGGUAGGUCACCCAUACAAUGAGACCAUCAUUUUUCUGGGUAGGUCACCCAUACAAUGAGACCAUUAUUUUUCUGGGUAGGUCACCCAUACAAUGAGACCAUCUUUUUUUCUGGGUAGGUCACCCAUCACAAUGAGACCAUAUUUUUCGGGGCAGGUCACCCAUCAAAAUGAGACCACACACACAUUUUUUUUGUAUUGGGUAAAGGAAUCACCAGAUGGGAUUCCAGGUUAAAGGAGAUCACCAGAUGGGAUCUCGGAUGGAUUUCCAUAUGGAUCAAACUAAAGUAAGAAUUCAGAGGAUUGCUGGAUAAGGAUCUCGAGAUGGCUAAGUUUUGAUCAUGGUUUUUGGGGCUAAGGAGGAUUGUUAUAAAGGACAAAGUUUCGGAUCAUUUAAGCUCCGACCAGAUCAGUUUCGGGAUUGUCGUUUUGGGUUUUAUCUUUAUAACACUUACUGCGCAAAACCCAUGCUCCGUAAGUAUUAUAAAGAGGGGGCAUCUGUUAUAACCCAUUUUUGGGUCCCCAUGAAAAAUAAAAUAAAUAGCCAAAAGAGUUUAGAAAAAAUAACAGAAGGCAGAAGCGCUCAGGAAACAGUCAGAAAAUUGGUCAAGAAAUUCAAAAAUACAAGGAUUAAAUUUUUGACAGUAUAUUCUUGAAGGAUGAAGGCCCUAUUGAGAAGGAAAAUUUGAAUUUUGAGGAGAAAAGCCCAAAUUUGGAUGUUUAUGGACUUAAUUGGAUUUUUAUUUGAAUUUAUAGAAGAUUUGAUUGCAAGAAAAAUUGAUUUUUAAGUCAAUUUGGGCUUUAAUUUGGAGAAAUUUAAGUUCUGGGGCCAAAAUAUUUUUUAGGAAUUUAUUGGGUCAAAUCAGGGGCUCAAUUGCAUAAAUAUUGAAGUUUAAGGGCCAAUUAGGGACUUAAUUGUGAAAAUCCGAAACCAGGGACCAAUUUGGAGAAGGCGCAAAGAUAGAGGGGGCUGUUUGGAUUUGUUUCAGGGGCUUAAUUGAAGAAAUUGGAAGUUUAUUGAUCAAUUAGGGGCUCAAUUGCAUAAAUCAGAGGCCAAGGACCAAAGUGAAAAAGGCGGCCAACAAGAGGGGCGGGGACCGAAUUUUGGGGACUGAUUUGAAGUUUAGCCAUUUAAAUGAAACGGCGCGUUUUACCCAAAACGACGCCGUUUCAUUAAAAAAAAAAAAAAAAAAAAAAAAAAACAGAACGGUGUCGUUUUGAACGACACUGUUCAUCUUCCUCCUUCCCCCCGUUUUAACAGAACAGAAAACGAAAAAAUUCGAAAAUCUUCCCGCGCCUCUCUCUCUCCUCGCCCCCACCACCUUUAGCAUUGGCCGACCAGCCGUUGCACCGCACUAACGAUGGUCCCCCACGGUUCUGCCCCUAUAAAUAGGGAAGAGGGACGAAAAGAAAAAAAAAACCCGAAGGGAGGAGAGAGAGAGGAGGCCGAAGAGAGAGAGAGAACCGAACACCGAAGAGAGAAGGAGCCGAAGCGCCGCCCGGGAAGCCACGCCACCGCAGCACCGCCUCCUCCACGCCAGGUCACCUCUUCUCCCCCCUCUCGUUAGUUUUUUCUUCUUUUUUUUUCCUGCAUGCAGAAUGAACAUUCUGCAUGCAGGGAGGAGGGGGGAAUUAAUUCCCCCCCUCUGUUGAUGUGUAGCUGGGCCAGGUGGAUCCUGGCCCAGCACAUUUUUUUUUUCUUUUUUUGGGCCAGACUAAGUCUGGCCCGGCCUUGUAUCUGACGGGCCAGACCAGGUCUGGCCCCAUACCAGCUCUCUGGGCCAAGUCCGGCCCAGAUAUUUGGGCCGGCCCAGCCCGAAUUAUAUUAUAUAUUAUAUAUUAUAUAUUAUAUUAUAUGUGUGUAUAUAUGUAUAUAUAUAUAAAAUAUAAUAAUAAAAAAAAUAAAUAUUUUGAAAAAAUCUUUAAAAAAAUAUUGUUGAUUUUUCUGCAUAUUUUUGUCAAAAAUGUUUUAAUUUUGGUUUGUAUUUUUAUACUGUAAAGAUACAAAACCAGUGUUAUAAAUACCCGGUUUUCGUCAAAACAUCAAAGAUUUUCAGAAUAAAAAAUGUUUUUGCUUUCAAAAAAAUUCUUAAAAGUCCCUAAAAAUGUUGUUCAUUUUUCUGCAUAUUUUUAUCAAAAUGGUUUAAUUUUGGUUUGUAUUUUUAUACCGUAAAGAUAUAAAACCAGUGUUAUAAAUACCCGGUUUUCGUCAAAAUAUCAAAGAUUUUCAGAAUAAAAAAUGUUUUUGCUUUCAAAAAAAUUCUAAAAAGUCCCUAAAAAUGUUGUUGAUUUUUCUGCAUAUUUUUAUCAAAAUGGUUUAAUUUUGGUUUGUAUUUUUAUACCGUAAAGAUAUAAAACCAGUGUUAUAAAUACCCGGUUUUCGUCAAAAUAUCAAAGAUUUUCAGAAUAAAAAAUGUUUUUGCUUUCAAAAAAUUUCUAGAAAUUCCCUAAAAAUGUUAUUGAUUUUUCUGCAUAUUUUUUUAAAAACGGAUUAAUAUUGGGUUGUAUUUUUAUACCGUAAGGAUACAAGCUCAGUAUUAAAAUACCCGAUUUUCGUCAAAGCAUAAAAAAAAUAAUAUUUUCCAAAAAUUGUUUUUUUGUUUUAAAAUACGGCCUAGUCUCUCCAAUAUAUAUACAUAAAUAUUAUAACAUCAUAUUUUCACACAACAAAGAAAAUUUUCAAAACAAUAUAUGUAUUAACAUGCAUUUUGGCUUUAAUAACCAGUUUAUUCAAGCCAUGAGAACUAGGCCAAUAUUUCAAAAAAUUCUAAAAAAUCUUUUUGUUUUAUUUUAGUAUUUGGGAUUACGAAUUUAUACGUAAAACGUAUUCCUAAGUAUUAUUAAUAAAAUUUUGGUAUGGACGUUAGAACGGUUAGGAUUUUUACCCGAUAAGAUAAAAGACCUUCUUACUGAGGAGGAUUUUUCUUGAACCAUAGACAGAUCAACGACUAGGAAAACACAACAACACUUUAGUUUUUUAUCAGACAAUAAAACAAUGCAGCUUACCUUAGGUAGGGCGUAUUUGGGGUGCUAAUACCUUCCCUUUACGCAACCAGUCUCCGUACUUGAUCUCUGAGACCAGUUAGGUUCCUAGUGACCAAAAUACUAGGUGGCGACUCCAAAGAACCAAAAAUAAAAAAAAUUCGCCAGUCGAACCCGCAAUUGAUGAAUUUGAAUUUUUUUGGGGUGCGACAUUGACCAUGAAUGGUUGAAACGAUAUUAGUAACUGAACUUUCCAUCUUGGUCUUGAAUUGCCAUAGCUCCCCCGUCAACCUGUCCUUCUCAUGACUUCUCAGAUCCCCCUCUUCACCUUGAUCGGCUAGAAGAUACUGCGGAGUCUUCUCAACAUCUCUACGCUCCCUCUCUUCGAAGCUGAUGCCACAGUCCACACCUGCCAUUGCUAGAGCUUCGAUUGAUGGCAUGGCUUCAGUCAAGUACUGCUAAGAGUGUUUCUGUGUGCUUCUUUGCAUCAAGACAUACGAGGUAUUUAUAAGGGGAACCUAAACUAGCCUUGUAUCUCUGUGGAUAAGGUUGCAGGUGAGAGCAUAUGAUCCAC